rnacentral:rRNA from 1 species
UGGGGAAUAUUGGACAAUGGGCGCAAGCCUGAUCCAGCCAUGCCGCGUGAGUGAUGAAGGCCCUAGGGUUGUAAAGCUCUUUUACCCGCGAAGAUAAUGACGGUAGCGGGAGAAUAAGCUCCGGCUAACUCCGUGCCAGCAGCCGCGGUAAUACGGAGGGAGCUAGCGUUGUUCGGAAUUACUGGGCGUAAAGCGCGCGUAGGCGGCUAUUCAAGUCAGGGGUGAAAUCCCGGAGCUCAACUCCGGAACUGCCCUUGAAACUGGAUAGCUAGAAUCCUGGAGAGGUGAGUGGAAUUCCGAGUGUAGAGGUGAAAUUCGUAGAUAUUCGGAAGAACACCAGUGGCGAAGGCGACUCACUGGACAGGUAUUGACGCUGAGGUGCGAAAGCGUGGGGAGCAAACAGGAUUAGAUACCCCCGUAGUCC